GAUGGUUAAGUUUGGAAAAUAGGCAGCAGAUAUAGAGCAGUCAAAUUACAUUACACUCUUUUGAAUCUACUAUGUAGGGUUUUUUAUUUUUUUACUGUGCUCGCGGAAUAUCAAAUAUGCAGUAACUGGGACAUCUGCUGAUACACAGACAUGAUCAAUAGACAAAAUGACCGGCCAAUCAGUAGCUCUUAUUCUGCAAUAUUGCCUAAUUCAGUCGUGAUGAUCUGCAUGCACAGCUAUAAAAUGCUCAGCAGAACUGGUACCGGGCAUGCUAUCUUAAAUUACUAAUUAAACAACCUUGCACCAUAACAAUCGAUGUGGACAACAUACCAUUACCAGCUAGGCACCAGCAAGGCAAUACCUGCAUCUUAAGUGCAGGAAGCUUGCAUAAAAGUAACUGGACUCGAAUGUGUAACCUCGAAUAUGAUCCGAAGAGAGCAAUACGAGAAUUCAUCAGAUUUCCAAUCAUCCUAUGUGCACAGCAUAUGUAUUAGCAUUGCAUGUAGAGCCAAACAAAAGAAUGUUCCUCGAUCUUUUGAUUCUUUGAAGAAAAAACAGAUGAAGGCGUGAUAGAUACAAGAAAGAGUAGAAAACAUUCACCCUUAUGGCCACACACUGGAGAAAACUGUGAAGCGAAAACACUGGCACGUUGAGUUUUCAGCACUAAGCAAUUGUGGAAGGUUCGGAGAGAACCAAAAGCAUUUAGAGGACAGCAGCAAAAUAGAAUGAUAGAAAUCAAAAGCUGCAUUCCCCUUCAAGCAGAUUAAUGAUAGUAGCAACUUUUAGACAUUGUCCAUAGCAGUAUACACUCAGAAAACUUGUGCUAGAUACAAGAGGGGGGUCAGAAGUU